CUCGGGUUAGUUACCUAUCUCAGUAAAGUAUAUGUUUGGUUUGAGGAACGUCUUGAGAUUCAGGCAAUUGCGGAUGAUAUAACUAGUACAUAUGUCCCUCCCCAUGUCAACAUAUUUUAUUAUUUAGGAGGAAUUACACUUACUUGUUGUCUAGUACAAGCCACUACCGUUUUUGCUAUGACUUUUUUACUACCGACCAACCAUUACUAG
rnacentral:rRNA from 1 species